rnacentral:rRNA from 1 species
AUACGGAGGGUGCAAGCGUUAUUCGGAAUCACUGGGCGUAAAGGACGCGUAGGCGGGAAGCCAAGUCUGAUGUGAAAUCCUACAGCUCAACUGUAGAACUGCAUUGGAAACUGGUUACCUAGAGUAUGGGAGGGGGAGAUGGAAUUAGUGGUGUAGGGGUAAAAUCCGUAGAUAUCACUAGGAAUACCGAAAGCGAAGGCGAUCUCCUGGGACAUUACUGACGCUGAGGCGUGAAAGCGUGGGGAGCAAACAGGAUUAGAAACCCCAGUAGUCC